rnacentral:rRNA from 1 species
GUGAGGAAUAUUGGUCAAUGGGCGAGAGCCUGAACCAGCCAAGUCGCGUGAAGGAAGAAGGAUCUAUGGUUCGUAAACUUCUUUUGCAGGGGAAUAAAGUGCGGGACGUGUCCUGUUUUGUAUGUACCCUGAGAAUAAGGAUCGGCUAACUCCGUGCCAGCAGCCGCGGUAAUACGGAGGAUCCGCGCGUUAUCCGGUUUAAUUGGGUUUAAAGGGUGCGUAGGUGGUUUGAUAAGUCAGCGGUGAAAGUUUGCAGCUUAACUGUAAAAAUGCCGUUGAAACUGUCGGACUGGAGUGUAAAUGAGGUAGGCGGAAUGCGUGGUGUAGCGGUGAAAUACAUAGAUAUCACGCAGAACUCCGAUUGCGAAGGCAGCUUACUAAGCUACAACUGACACUGAAGCACGAAAGCGUGGGGAUCAAACAGGAUUAGAAACCCGAGUAGUCC